ensembl:rRNA 5S_rRNA 5S ribosomal RNA
GUUUACGGCCAUUCCACCCUGAGCACGCCCGAUCUCGUCUGAUCUCGGAAGCAAAGCAGGGUCGGGCCUGAUUAGUACUUGGAUGGGAGACGGCUUGGGAAUACCAGGUGCUGUAAGCA